CGGAGCAAUUUGGUUCAAAUUUGAAUUUCAUUCGACAUUAUUCAUUUCUUCAUUUGACUAAAACAUCACUUAAAGUGGUUAGUUAUAGUUCUUAACAUCCUUCUUAGGUUAGGUUCUAUAGUCAAACCACCAUUAGAAAAGAAAAGAGAGGCGGACUCUAAACAAUCUUUGCUUUCUCUUGCUAGGUUUGUGUCAAAUAAGUGGUUUGGAGCUAUUGUCUUCAGCAGGAUCCUAGUUGGAAGAUUAACAUCAUGAAAGACUUUGAAUCGAAGAAUCAAGGAUCAUGCUAUCAAAAACGGGUACCCAUUGAACUGCACAUUUCCAAUUUUUAAUGACAGUUUCUAUGAAUCCCUAAUCUCUGCCAUGCUGUCAGUGCUUCCCUGACACUGGAUUGACAUCGAUUGACAUGCAAACAAAAAAUAUGGACUCAAUACCGAAGUUCUGUGGAAAGGAGUUGGCUACUUGGAAGAGUAUGCCAAACUUCCUUUCUGAAGUUAAACCAUUGAAGAAAGUGAGGAUUGUUGUUUCUUCACUCAUGUUUUUUCUCAAUUACGGGUGCAUUGAUGUUGCCAUUUUGACCCAAAGCAAUUGUCACUGUUGAAAGAUGAGUGUAAACUUCUUGAAGCAGUUGCUAACACAAAUUUUAUAUACAAAUAGUGAUCCCCAAAAAAUGCUACUCUUCUUGAA